rnacentral:ncRNA from 2 species
AAUCAGCGGGGAAAGAAGACCCUGUUGAGC